AGGAAAGUAGCUUGCUACUUUUGCCGGCGAGCGGCGGACGGGUGAGUAAUGCCUGGGGAUCUGCCCAGUCGAGGGGGAUAACAGUUGGAAACGACUGCUAAUACCGCAUACGCCCUACGGGGGAAAGGAGGGGACCUUCGGGCCUUUCGCGAUUGGAUGAACCCAGGUGGGAUUAGCUAGUUGGUGGGGUAAUGGCUCACCAAGGCGACGAUCCCUAGCUGGUCUGAGAGGAUGAUCAGCCACACUGGAACUGAGACACGGUCCAGACUCCUACGGGAGGCAUCAGUGGGGAAUAUUGCACAAUGGGGGAAACCCUGAUGCAUCCAUGCAGCGUGUGUGAAGAAGGCCUUCUGGUUGUAAAGCACUUUCAGCUAGGACGAAAAGUUGGCGCCUAUUACGUGUCAGCUGUGAAGUUACUCACAAAACACUGCUCCAGCUAACUCCGUGCCAGCCACCGCGGUAAUACGUACGGAGCUACUGUGCAUCGAAAUUACUGGGCGGUUUCCUCACGCAGGCGAUAUGGA
rnacentral:rRNA from 1 species